rnacentral:rRNA from 1 species
GAUGAACGCUGGCGGCGUGCCUAAUACAUGCAAGUCGAGCGAACAGACGAGGAGCUUGCUCCUCUGACGUUAGCGGCGGACGGGUGAGUAACACGUGGAUAACCUACCUAUAAGACUGGGAUAACUUCGGGAAACCGGCGCUAAUACCGGAUAAUAUAUUGAACCGCAUGGUUCAAUAGUGAAAGACGGUUUUGCUGUCACUUAUAGAUGGAUCCGCGCCGCAUUAGCUAGUUGGUAAGGUAACGGCUUACCAAGGCGACGAUGCGUAGCCGACCUGAGAGGGUGAUCGGCCACACUAGAACUGACACACGUACCAGACUCCUACGGGAGGCAGCAGUAGGGAAUCUUCCGCAAUGGGCGAAAGCCUGACGGAGCAACGCCGCGUGAGUGAUGAAGGUCUUCGGAUCGUAAAACGCUGUUAUUAGGGAAGAACAAAUGUGUAAGUAACGAUGCACGUCUUGACGGUACCUAAGCAGAAAGCCACGGCUAACUACGU